rnacentral:rRNA from 1 species
AUUGAACGCUGGCGGCAUGCCUUACACAUGCAAGUCGAACGGCAGCGCGGACUUCGGUCUGGCGGCGAGUGGCGAACGGGUGAGUAAUGCAUCGGAACGUGCCAUUGAGUGGGGGAUAACUAUCCGAAAGGAUAGCUAAUACCGCAUAUUCUGUGAGCAGGAAAGCAGGGGAUCGCAAGACCUUGCGCUCUUUGAGCGGCCGAUGUCAGAUUAGCUGGUUGGUGGGGUAACGGCCCACCAAGGCGACGAUCUGUAGCGGGUCUGAGAGGAUGAUCCGCCACACUGGGACUGAGACACGGCCCAGACUCCUACGGGAGGCAGCAGUGGGGAAUUUUGGACAAUGGGGGCAACCCUGAUCCAGCCAUGCCGCGUGAGUGAAGAAGGCCUUUGGGUUGUAAAGCUCUUUCGGCCGGGAAGAAAUCGUGCGGGCUAAUACCCUGCAUGGAUGACGGUACCGGACUAAGAAGCACCGGCUAACUACGUGCCAGCAGCCGCGGUAAUACGUAGGGUGCGAGCGUUAAUCGGAAUUACUGGGCGUAAAGCGUGCGCAGGCGGUUUUUUAAGACAGGCGUGAAAUCCCCGGGCUUAACCUGGGAACUGCGUUUGUGACUGGAAGGCUAGAGUAUGGCAGAGGGGGGUGGAAUUCCACGUGUAGCAGUGAAAUGCGUAGAGAUGUGGAGGAACACCGAUGGCGAAGGCAGCCCCCUGGGCCAAUACUGACGCUCAUGCACGAAAGCGUGGGGAGCAAACAGGAUUAGAUACCCUGUAGUCCACGCCCUAAACGAUGUCAACUAGGUGU